rnacentral:lncRNA from 1 species
GUGCAGCCUUUUCCCCUGAGUCCCUUUGUCUCAAGGCCCCUGUGUUCCGGGUCUUUUGUUGUUCUCUGCAUGGACUUUGAUUCGAGAUUUAAAGAAAAACAAGUGCUGGCCCUCCUUGCGCCCUCUGGUGUCCCAGUGAGGUAUAACCGGACAAACCGCACAAAGAUCACAGCCAUUUUCACACAGCGCUCCCCCGACACAGUGAUGCCUGGAGACGGGAAUGUCUGGAAUCUUAGAGGAAGGAAUCACACACCGACAAGCAUGGCAGGCUUAGUCUUUGAAACUUAAUCAGAGCCUGAGAUACAUCCAGAAGACUGCAUUACAAUUUCAAAUCAAAGCUGGACAAGUUUUUUUUUUUUUUUACACAGAUAUCACCAUGUUAGAAAAGUUGGACAAGUUUUGAAACCAUUCUGAACCUAUCAUUCCUGUCUUUCAAAUCCUUCCAAGGCAUCUUAUUAUUGAUUUGUUUCUAUAUUUUCCUCAUUAUUAAAG